AGGCGACGGCCGUCAGGCUCACCGCCCCACCCGCCCUCCCCGACGCCAUCCUCAACCCUGCCCGCACCACGCCGCCCCCUCGCUUCCUCUUACCCUACCCUGGGAGAUCCCUUCUUUGCUUCUCCAUCGAAACCCCAAUCUUAGCUCGCGGCCCUCUGCCACGGGGUUCUCCACCCAAGCCCAGCGUGAUUUCCCCCUGUCCAUUGGACGACUUCGCUCGCCGUAGGUCAUUCCAACCUACCUAUUAAUUGACGAGAAAUAGGGUCGGUUUCUUAGCUGGUGAUUUCUGCUCCGCCGUUAAAGAUCGUGGAGUUUCCUGACCCAGGCUUGAAUUGAGGGCGAAGAACAAGCGUAUCUUAGAUGAUAAUUUGAAGACAUGGUUGAGAAGAUGUUUGAAAUAUCCACCAGCAGACAAUUGGAGGAACGGUUGGGGUGUACAGUUCCCCGAAAGCCUGCCAGCAGAAGGGUUCAUAAAUAUGAUAAUGUUCCUGUAGUGGUUCAAGCUCAACCUCGGUUAGGCUAAUGUCUGAACAUGGAGAGCUGUCGCUGCAAGCAAAGUGCACUGGUUUUACUGUAUAGGUCCCUUUUAUGUUCUCAUAUGCGAUGCUGGACAGUGCCACUGCUGAUGUCUGGUUCUUGCAGGAGCUUCUGUCACAGUAAAAUUGGUCUAUGACAACUGGAGUUUGGACCUCUGAUACUCUUAUGUUUGAGAAUUUUAUACUCUGGACGGAGCCCGAUCCACCCUGUGAUAAUUUAAUAGGUGAAGAUAAAAAUUAUUGGGAAGAAUCUGGUCUCCCACCAGCGGAUAAAACUUAAUUUUUUUGGUCACUAUUGUAUAUUGGAUAAACAUCUAGUGAGAUGAUGCCUAAGACUAAGAACACAGGAACUUGCAUUCUAAGCUGUUUUAAGAACAGGGAAGGCCUAAAAAUGUAUUAAAAAAAUGAAGUCAAGUUGGUCCCCAUGAUCAUUUUGACUCUUCGUAUGAGGGUCAACAAUCACCAGAAUAAUCAUUUUGUAUGCCAUCAAACAGGAAAUUCCUGAACGGUGUAUAGGCUAUACCGCAGCUCAUGUUGGUAUGAUGAAUCAUAACAUCUCUAGAAUUUUGAAGAUGUAUGCCAUCUGUGUUAAGGCUGCUUCCUGGUGAAUUGAUUGUCAUGUUGAAGACCUGGACAGCUUCACAAUUGUCAAACUUGAGGUGGCACUGUGGACUGUUCUGGAUUGUGAUGCCAGUUACUGUGACAUUGUAACUCCCAUAGAAUCUCAGAGCCUGCAGAACAGAAUUAGAGAAGAAAAAAUAUGCAAAGUAUUGUUAAUCAUGUCUUGAUAUUGCUUUAUUGUUAGAGUAGCUGCAAGGCAAGAAAUCUUACAGUUGGCUUGAUCUGCGGCAGUUUCAUACUGAGCUCAGCAUUUAUCUGUCAAAGGUUUCACCAUUAGGAAUAUCUGAUGAAUAUUAUGAUUAUUAUUAGAAUGGGAAAUGAGUCUGAAGGAUGAAAGUCAGGAGUUUUUGUUGAAUAUAUAUUGUGAGAUGGUACUUAUUCCUCAAGGUGACAGGAAUUACUUUAACAGAAAAUGAACCUGGAUUGGUUUUUCUUCCCUGGUAAGCAGAUAAGAAUUCUAGAAAUUGGGAACGGUGGGCAGAUCUAUUCAUAUAUUUAUGAUGGAGAUAGAUGUUUAUGUGGCUUACUGGAUCAACAUCAGACUCCAUAGUUGUCCACCAUACACUGCCUUGCCCUUCUAUUGUUCCACUGCCUUGAAUUGAUAUUCCUUGCAGCUUUGAGAACUCAAUCCACCACAGUAGCCCAGAACCCCACCUUUUGGCAUCAGUUGGAGCAAUGAUCAUUCCAUCCAGCUGCAAGAGAGUUCAGUUCUUCAUGUGUGUUUCAUUUUCUACAGAGCAUAUCAGUUUUCUCCUUUUGUUUGGACCCUGCUGGUAAACUUGGUUAAACCUUUUCUUUGGAGGAAGGAAUAACUUAAAUUAAACCUAUUUAUUCAUUACCAAUAGUUCCGAUGGUUCUUAUCACAGGUUUGCUUAUGUAAGAGGUAGCUGCUGUUGCUGUGGGGGUUUCAUGGCUCAUACCCAUCCAAUCUAUCAAUAACAAAUUCUUGUCAAAUUAUACAAAUGUAUCUAAACUGGUUAACACUAGGAUCUAAUGUGAUAACUAUCUGAUUCUGGAUACCUGUCUUGGUUCGUUGAACCCAUGUAUUAAAUCUUUUAAGUUGUGGUCAGGCACAACCUGGACCUACACAGUGGAUCACGACGAAACCUACUUGCCAAUAUAGUGACCAAUUGUUUCUAGCAAACUGUAGUACACAAGUAUCCUAUUUAGUUGUUUUUUCUUGUCAGUUACUUAUUUGUUUUGAGGAUUUUGUUUUCAGGAUUGAGCUGCGAGAUAUACCUGGAGAGCAAUGUUGGGCUGACAAUAAGGUCCAGAGAAGGAGAUAGGGCCUACAAGGAAUUCAAAUUCUGCUGGAACAACCACAGUUGACCCUUCCACCUUGCAAGCAGCAGCCCAUGCAGCCUGGAAGGCCUGCAUUUGUUCAUGAAGUCAGGUGUUAAAUGUGAUAAAAUGCCAAUCAAGGAGAGCCAUGCUGGUUUGUAAUGGUCAGCAAUGUGGAUUGGUUUCAGCUAAUACCAACAAGGAUACGAGGAGAAGGUAACAAUGGCUACCUCGGUGUCAUCUGCGAUGCCAUCUCCCUUUGCUCCGAAAUCGAGCACAUUGAACAUGGCUGUCUUCAUCGGAUACUCUGUUAUCGGGUUUGGGCUCAGAGUUGCACUCAGGGACAACACUACCCUACCAGCUUGCUGCAAGCUAGUCCAGGAGUUCUGCAGCCUCUGCUACAUGCACAUCAACUCGUAACAGUGACAUGAAAGAUUACAAUUCCACCAAAACUCCAUCACAGAGGAGAGGGUUUCUGUAAGUGUGUUUCUUCCUGAUGCAUGCAAAGGCCGAAGUAGGGCACAUGAGUGGGGCAAUGACAACAGCAGCUGCUCCUGAUCACAUGCAGCUGAUCACGGGCGGGAGGAUACUGCUUUGUCCACUCUGGGAGUCAGGUUGAUCCAUUAGUAGCAAUCUGUACCUACGCUAGCAAUCUGUGCAAUCAUGGAGGAUGACAGAAUACAUACUCAAACAUCAGAACAGUGUGCCCUGUAGAAAGAUUCAUGGCUCCCAGAGUUCUAAUGCACAUGCUACUUGGAUCAGAAGGCAUCCAACAAUAGUUCACUUUCCCCAAAAGAAACCCUAAACAUUGAAGAAGAGCCAGGAGUCACACAGAUCAUUCUGGAACAGCUUCAAGAAAUAGCAACCACAACAGUUCUAACCAGGAAAAGAAUAAGAAAUGGCUGCCGUCAUAACAAAGCUAAAACAAAGAAAAAUAUGUUGCUUCGUGGUGACCCUGCUGCCACACAUACAAUGCAUGUUAGGGUUUUUAUUCGGUGUACUGCAUGCACGUGAACUUGGGGCUUCAUUUCAUGCUACCAACCUAAAUCUUCCCUGCCCCAGCUUCAUGGAUUCUUGUGUGGAUUGGAUCUACCACAUCAAUAGCAGUGAGAUCAGUGAAUGCAAGUGGGGGGGAAGCCACGUUUCUUUCUUAUCCUUGAUGGGUCCCACUGAUGACAUUAUCAUCGGUAACAAAAGCAUAAAUCAUGUUUGUAUUCAGACGAGAUGAGCCUAAACAUGGAUGGAUACUGAUUUAUCCAUCCUGGGUAUGGAUCCACUCCGACGCAAAGAUUCAAUCCUGUGUGCCACAACAAUCCAUCCUUGAGACGAGUGCCAUGGUACUGACUUGAUGUUACAUGCUCUUGUUAGGUUAAUCUGCAGCUCAAGUGAGGACUGUGCCAAGGACUGUCAGUUGUACUUCAUCACCUGCAGCAAAAUGGUUCCAUUCUGAUAUUUAUGUGGGCGAUACACUGAGAUCACCUUCUUUUCUGAUUGAAGCUUCACGAUAGAAAACAAUCAAAGUCUGCUGCCCUGGGCAAGUAAGUGAACAACUAAGCCAUGGGCUCCAUUCUGCUAUUUCUGUGGGCGAUAAGCUGAGAGCACCUUUUCUGAUUGAAGCUUCGUGGCUGAAAACAAUCCAAGUCUGCUGUCCAAGGCAAGUGAAUACCUAAGCCAUGCUUUUAGUGUGGUCUGCACUCUUGUGACCCACAGUACAUACAUGCAUUGCAGUUCUUCAUCUCACCCUGUUCAAAAGAUGAUCAGAACAGAUUGAAAGAAACAAUGGCCUUGACCCAUCA